GAGGAUAUAGCUCAGUGGUGGAGUGCGUGCUUAGCAUGCAUGAGGCCCUGGGACCAAUCCCCAGUACCUUCA
rnacentral:tRNA from 1 species